GGGACCAGCUUUCCCAAGCUGGAAAUAGGCAGCCUGCUGCUUCCUGGAAGUCAUUCUUACUGUGUGUCUUACUAUAAUUUUUAAUUCUAUCUGUGGCCUCUCUGGAAGAACUGGAGGGAACAGUUGAAACAUGGUCAUUUAUAAAUUACUGACCCUAUUUAAGCUCAACUUUACUAAGAGCAUUUCAUCUUUAUAAACCAACUACUCCAAAGCUGAAGCAGACUGAAAACUGUAAGUUUAAGGCUUGACUGUGCUAGAAUGAACCAGAGCCCAGUCUGGGCAAGUUUGAGACUCUGUCUCAGAAGUAAAGUCUAAGAAUGUAACUCAGGAAUAGAAAGCACCAGCCUAAUGGGCACAAAGCCCUGAUACAAUCCCCAGUAUGCAAAAACAGGAAAGUAUAUUAGGUUUCCACUGCUAAUUCAAAUACUAUUUGUAACACUAUCUUAGCAAGCAAUCAUAGAGAAUACUUCCUGUAUUAUUAGUAAAUCUAUUAUAAACUGGGAAGGGUAGUAAACCCCUUUAAUUGCAGUAUUCAAGAGGCAGAGGCAGUGGAUCUCCAAGUUUGAAAAGGCCAGGGUGGUCUAUAAAGCAAGCUGUAAGUCAGGAGGAGCUACACAGUGAGACCUAGUCUCAAAGAAUAUAUUAAUGUAAACAUAUAUAAAUUUUAGGUUUAGCCAACAUAAAAUACCAUCUAAUUAUUUUGUAAUCUAGUACUAAAACCUUAUAUUGUUUCAAGUGGGUCAUAAACAACAAAAGGGCCUGGUGACUGAGUUCAGUCUCUGGAACUCACAGAACGGGAGAACCGACUCCAGUAAGCUGUCUGACAUCCAAGCCUUCUAUAGCUCCUGCAUCCCACAUUCACACAGGUCAUACAAAUGGUCAUCAUAAAGUUCAAUUUAAAUGAAUAAAACUGACUGUAC
rnacentral:lncRNA from 1 species